rnacentral:rRNA from 1 species
AUGAACGCUGGCGGCGUGCCUAAUACAUGCAAGUCGAGCGAACGGACGAGAAGCUUACUUCUCUGAUGUUAGCGGCGGACGGGUGAGUAACACGUGGAUAACCUACCUAUAAGACUGGGAUAACUUCGGGAAACCGGAGCUAAUACCGGAUAAUAUUUUGAACCGCAUGGUUCAAAAGUGAAAGACGGUCUUGCUGUCACUUAUAGAUGGAUCCGCGCUGCAUUAGCUAGUUGGUAAGGUAACGGCUUACCAAGGCAACGAUGCAUAGCCGACCUGAGAGGGUGAUCAGCCACACUGGAACUGAGACACGGUCCAGACUCCUACGGGAGGCAGCAGUAGGGAAUCUUCCGCAAUGGGCGAAAGCCUGACGGAGCAACGCCGCGUGAGUGAUGAAGGUCUUCGGAUCGUAAAACUCUGUUAUUAGGGAAGAACAUAUGUGUAAGUAACUGUGCACAUCUUGACGGUACCUAAUCAGAAAGCCACGGCUAACUACGUG